UUUUUUAAUUGGGGUAGCCCCCAAAAUAUUGGGACAUAUAAAAAAAAGACAACUCUGUUCCGCAGAGUAGCUGUUGACAUUAUAGUUGCGGAGGCACUUUGUUGACUCUAGAGAACAUCGGGCCAAUCUCACAUCCCCGUGAUACGGAUGUCAUCCAUAUCAACUUUCGAUGCCAGUUUCUGCGCCUACCAUGGUGACCAUGUGUAACAGGGAAUCAGGGUUCCAUUCCGUACAGGGACCCUGAAAAAUGGCUACCACAUGCAAGGAAGGCAGCAGGCACGCAAAUGACCCACUCCCGGCGCGGGAAGGUAGUGACGACAAAUAACAAUACAGGACUCUUUAGAGGCCCUGUAAUUGUAAUGAGUCCACUUGAAAUCCUUUAACUCUGAUCAAUUGGAGGGAAGUCUGGUGCAGAGCCACUGACCCGUGCGUGCUGCAGCUGAAACUCCACUA